UAGUAGUUGAUCAAUAGGGCACAAAAGUCAACAAUUAGUACAAGGAAAUUUAUAACGAAGAACCGGAUAGAUUCCUAUAUACAGAAUCCAAAAAUUCUACAUGGAAAGUUACACGGUCAUUUUUCUACUUGCUACAGUUGGUAGUUGCCAAAAAUUCGAAUCGACUUUACUUUUCAUCUUAAUUAAUUAAAUUCCAUCUGAGAUACUUGCACAGAUAGUCAAGCAUUUAUCUAGAGACUUAUCUAGAUUCAACUCUUUCUUCAAUUGAUUCAGCAGAAGUUUGUGACAAAAACAAAGGGCAUUAUGUAUUGCGCGCGAUAACGAUGUCCGUUGUAUCAUACAGUAUGUACUGUGUCCUCUUACGGCACGUGAGAAAAACACGAUCAAAUCUACUGUGCGAUCUGUAGGUCACUAUAACCUCAAAACGUUACAUUAUGCAUAAUCAAUCUGCAAGAGGUAGCUUUUGAACGUAGUGUAAUUCGAAGAUAUUGUCGCCGUAUUCUUAUUUACAUUUUCCACUGUCAAAAUGGCUAUUAUGAAGAUACUGCUACGACCAGACAUCGCAAGGUUCACUGGGGUCAGACAUUUAAGUUCUAAACCAAAAUUUGGCUUGCUCUUUGACAUUGAUGGUGUAAUAGUACGUGGCAAAAAUGUAUUACCACCUGUACCAGAAGCUUUUAAACAACUUCAAGGCAAAGAUGGCAAAUUUCGUGUACCAACUGUUUUUGUCACUAACAGUGGAAAUGCACUGCGUAGUCAAAAAGCAGCAGAUUUAUCUAAAUGGAUAGGGAUUGAAGUGAAAGAAUCACAAGUGGUCAUGGCUCAUUCACCGUUAAAGUUAUUUCAACAGUUUCAUAAUAAACAAGUAUUAAUAUCUGGACAAGGCCCAAUCAAAGAGAUAGCUAAAGAAUUGGGUUUCCAAAAAACAGUAACUAUUCAAGAAUUAGUGAAAAAUUUCCCCUCUUUAGAUUAUGUAAAUAUGGAGAGGAGGAACCCGCUAUGUGGUCCUGUAGAUCCAAAGUUCCCUGCGAUAGAAGGCCUUGUAUUAUUUAGCGAACCAAUUUCUUGGGAAACUUCAUUGCAACUAAUGGUAGAUGUUUUAAUGACUAAUGGCAUGCCUGCUGGUUUACCCGGCGAUAUUCCAUAUCCGCACAUUCCGGUUUUGGCAUGUAACAUGGAUUUAUUAUGGGUAUCAGAAGCACCAAUUCCUAGAUAUGGUCAUGGUGCUUUUCUAUUAUGCCUGGAAUCUUUAUAUAAGAAGAUUACUGGAAAAGAUAUGAUAUAUUCUGCUCUAGUCGGAAAACCUAGUGAAAUUACAUACUAUCAUGCAAAUCAUGUGCUUCGUAAGCAUGCUAAAAGUAUUGGAAUAGAUCAUAAUGUUGAUACUAUAUAUGCUAUUGGAGAUAAUAUUAAUACUGAUAUUUUUGGUGCAAAUUUGUAUGAUAAAUAUCUGGCAUAUUGCGCAAAAGAACAAGUAUUAAAGGUUGAUAAAUUGAAGAAAUUACUUAACCAGGAUAUCAAUCCUCCUAGCGCGAAAGCCUGUAUUAGUAUUUUAGUUGAAACUGGUGUCCACAAACGAGAUUCGGAUUUUAUAUCGGAACAUAGUCCUAGAGACUUCUUACCCGUCGAGGAUGGUCUAUGCAAGCCUGCAUUCGUAGUAGAACAUGUUGGCGAAGCUAUUAAAGUUGCGUUUAGAGAAGAAAAAUUCGACUGAAUUAGAUAUGUAUAGAACGUAUUUUUAGACUUGGAGUGUUGAAUGAGAAGAUUCUAUCCUAAUAUUGAUUAAGAAGAAAGAAGACAUAAGAACUUAGAUAUAUCUUCGCUAAUAUAGUGUGCAGAAAAUUGAGUCGAAAUUAAUCAUUGCUUCUGAUUAUGGCGGAACGUACAAGACGUCUGGGUCUCAUGACCCAUGAGUUGAACCAUCAAUCGUUUGAUGAAAUAAUUCAAUUACAUAUCGAUUGGUCGGUGUCCACGAGGAAUAAAUUUAUUUUCACGUUGGAAGAUCUAUUACAUCUAGCACACUGAUGUUUAUUUAAACGCAUACAUUUCCUAGUUCAGUAAUUACGAUUGACAUUUACAAUAUAAAUGCAUAAACUUUGAUGGAAUAAUUUUUGACAUUUAACGAUGAAAAAAUACCAGUGAAAUCAUUAGUGGACUUCCUGCGUUUAAAGUGCAAGUUGACCUCAGAAAAACCGGUUUUGAACAAGUAUGCCUGUUAUUUCAGUGUCAUCCAAAGAUCUGUUGGCUGUCUCGCUUUUUUGGACUAAAAAUACAACAAGCUAAGUAGCACGCUUCUAUGUACAUUUACUUAUUUCCGGCUGAUGAGAAAAUUGACCGAGAUUUUAAAUCUUUCUUAGACUGCAAACGGGUCGCUUCAUUGUAUAUGAAUCUUAAUUUACAACUUCAUUCUCUUACAAGUAAUUCGUUUCAAGUUAUCGUAAUUGACCUUAUCGUCGUGUACUCUAAUCAACAUCGUAUAUUCGAGUUACAUCAGCGCAUGAACAGAAUUCAAAACGUGACACAUUUAUUAGAUCUUUUUUUAGUAAAAGACUCAUAGCAAGAAACUGCAAUAAAAUGAAAAUAUUUGAAUAAAUUUGCAUUGAUAUAACUUGAAACGAAUUACUUGUAAGAGAUAAAUGGAAACGAUGCGUUCAUUGGUCCACUUUACGAAACAGGUUGUAGAAUCAAAACGACUAAACCAUUAGUAAGGGGAUCAUAUAAAGUGUAAUACACUGAUCUUUUAAUGAUUUUUUUGUUUCCUUUCCUACGCUACUUAAUAAUUUAGAAUAAAAGAUAUAAAGAAAACAUAGAAAUUAGAAUCGUGAUGCUAAUGUUUUCAAUUAUUAAUUAAUUAAAUAAAAUAGAAACAAUACUCAGUCACAGUUUUUUUUAGAUCUUCGGGCAAAAUUUCAACAAAAUCUAUGCGUGACACUUUGCUCGGCACAUCCAUAAAUGGUCAAACCGGUUAUUCAUUUCUGUGUCAUGAUGCACGCACCGCAGUGCAAUAAAAUCACGAAUGUUAUUUCUAAUUUGAGAGUCAACGCACGUCACAUAACUCAAAUAUAGGUCGGACAUUACCAAUUCAAAUGCCUUUCCCUACUUAAAGAAGAAACGAUAUUUAAAAUACGAUAACAAAGAAAGAAUUGAGUAUUGAGAAAUUAAAUUAAUACUCUACAAUCAA